AGGAAAUUUGAGAGGAGCUGUCCUUAGUACGAGAGGACCGGGAUGGACGCACCGCUGGUGUACCAGUUGUCUUGCCAAAGGCAUCGCUGGGUAGCUAUGUGCGGACGGGAUAAGCGCUGAAAGCAUCUAAGUGCGAAGCCCCCCUCAAGAUGAGAUUUCCCAUUUCUUCAAGAAAGUAAGACACCUCAGAGACGAUGAGGUAGAUAGGCCGGGAGUGGAAGAGCCGUGAGGCUUGGAGCGGACCGGUACUAAUCAGUCGAGGACUUGACCAAAA
rnacentral:rRNA from 1 species